CCAAGACAAGAGGGCAGCCAGCCGUCUGAGGGGAGAGAAGAAACCGGGGGAAAUAGCUCCUUUCUGCUUCCACUGUGCUCCUUCCCCUGCCCAGGUAGUGGGGAUCAUGGCCAGAUCCAUGAUGUUUGGGGCCAGAAAAGGGACCUCCUGAUUAGGCCUGAGAGGGAAGAUCAACCUGAGUGGAAAGAAGAGGACUCUGGAUGGGGCGAAGACUCCUCAGGACAAAUUCAGGGAUGCCCGAGGGAAAGUGGAAGGUUCUACGGGAGACACAGAUGAAUCAGACACAGCCACUGCCCUUGCAGUGCUCACGGACCAGCAGGGAGGAGCGAUGUGAGUUCAAGCAAUAAGAGUUAAAUAAUAACGGCGCUGCACACAGAAGGCCCACCUGGAGCCUGGACUUGCGCUGAGCCUCAGCCAUCCAUUUAAUAAUUAUUAAUCAAGUGCCCAGUAUGUGCCAAGAACUUCUUGCUUCUGAUGCCUGGGAUAAAAUAAUGAGCAACGCCAGACUCCUCUAGCGCAUGGAGCUUUUUUCUAUCUGACAGCAGUGGUGAGGAUGGAGACACACAAUAAAUAAAUAAACAAAGAAGCCUGAUACACUGGAGGUGAUAAACAAUGCAAAGAAAACAGAGAGGAAUAAGACAGCCAGCCUGAGUGGUCUGGGAAAGUCCCCGCCGUGAAUGAUGAGAGGAGAACACGCGGAUGGAACACAUAGGAAGAUGCUUCCAGGCUGAGGGUGCUGCAGUGGGAAAGGCCUGAGCAGGUUUGGGCCGUGUGAGGAGCACUUCUGCCUGGAGGCCAGCUGCAGAGUGAGGGAUGGAGCAGGGCAGGAAAUGAGAUCACAGAAGUGUAUCAGACCAAGGGAGAACUUGGGGGUUGAUUGUAAGAAUGAUGGAAAUUUCCUGGAGGAUGUCAGAGCAGAGGAUUAAUGUUAUCUGAUUCACAUUCGCAGAGAAUCACUCUGGCAUGGGGUGGGAACAGAGUUUAGGGCCAGAGUGGGAGCAGAUGGCUGGUGAGAGGGUGUACAGGUCAGGCACCACUAAUCCCAUCAUACAGAGGGGGCAAGAUGAAGCCGGGGGCAAAAAUGCAUCCCUGCUUUCAAGCAGAAAAACAAAAGGACAAAGCCAGGAUGCUGUGGCGUUACAAUUCCUGCCAUUUGCCCCUGAGAACUUCCAUCUCCCUGUUAGCCAGAGUAAAAUGCCGAAAGGGACCUCACUGUGUGUGCUGCCGGUAUCUCACGCCUGAGUUCAGAGGAGGAAGCGAGCCGCUGCUGAUGAGAGACAAGCGAGGCAGAAGUGAUCAUCAGGUGACCCUCAAAGAACAGAUGUGUUUGGUCCGCUGGAGAAAGAAGAGGAUGCGUCCUAGACAUAAAUGGUAAUGAAAACCAAGGCCAAGAACUGGGAAAAGAAGAAAUGAUGCAGUUCAGGGAGACUAGACUUUGGGGACCUCUCAGAGAGGCGAGACAAGAGACAGAGCAGGUCACCAGACACAAUGGGUGUACAAUGCUAAUUUGAAGAGUUGACAGGGAAGCAUGAAAUGGAUCCAGUCUGGCAGUGGCAACACACAGGCUGCUUUAUAGUGAGAAGCCGAAAUACCCCAGUGCUGGCUCCUCAGAGCACCCCCAGGAUAGGGUUGGAGGAUGUCCAGCAGGGGGAUGUCCACAUGCAUCUGGCCAACUGGGCAAGGGGUGUGUCAUUGUUGAAAGUAGUGAAAACAGAAGCAGUGGAAGAGUUCUUUCUCUAGAGAUGGUUUCAGACAUGGUGCAGUAAAAGAUGGAGGAAUUUGUUUUUGUCAGCACUCUCAGUAUUUACAGUCAGUCACGUACAAACCUAAAUACUUCAGAAAUGUGAAAUACUCAUAAUCCUAGGAGAAAACGUUUCCAGCGUUACCUGUGUUUUUCAGAUGGGAGAACUUAGGCACACCAGCGUCCUUAGCGAGUAGAGUCCUGGAUUCCAAUCCAGUAAGUUUGGCUGGAGUUCCUUCCUCAGAUAAUCAAGCGAUGACAUCAUCCUCCUGGAUGUCAGUAUCAAAACAGUGCUCUGCAGGUGAUUGAGCUGCCCACAUUGCUUGAGUUGAAGAAGACUGGAGAGGGACGGAGUGGUGUGUGUAUAACCUCAGCACUUGGGAGGCUGAGGCAGGACAAUCGGAAGUUUGAGACUAGCCUCGGGUACACCCCCACCCU